rnacentral:rRNA from 1 species
UACAGAGGUCCCGAGCGUUGUUCGGAUUUAUUGGGCGUAAAGGGUGCGUAGGUGGCACAGUAAGUUGGAUGUGAAAUCCUGGGGCUCAACCUCAGAAUUGCAUUCAAUACUGCUUAGCUAGAGAGCUGUAGAGGAGACUGGAAUUUACGGUGUAGCAGUGAAAUGCGUAGAUAUCGUAAGGAACGCCAGUGGCGAAAGCGAGUCUCUGGGCAGCAUCUGACACUGAGGCACGAAGGCCAGGGGAGCAAACGGG